AUUGAACGCUGGCGGCAUGCCUUACACAUGCAAGUCGAACGGUAACAGGUCUUCGGAUGCUGACGAGUGGCGAACGGGUGAGUAAUACAUCGGAACGUGCCUAGUAGUGGGGGAUAACUACUCGAAAGAGUGGCUAAUACCGCAUGAGAUCUACGGAUGAAAGCAGGGGAUCGCAAGACCUUGUGCUACUAGAGCGGCCGAUGGCAGAUUAGGUAGUUGGUGGGAUAAAAGCUUACCAAGCCGACGAUCUGUAGCUGGUCUGAGAGGACGAUCAGCCACACUGGGACUGAGAGACGGCCCAGACUCCUACGGGAGGCAGCAGUGGGGAAUUUUGGACAAUGGGCGCAAGCCUGAUCCAGCAAUGCCGCGUGCAGGAUGAAGGCCUUCGGGUUGUAAACUGCCUUUGUACGGAACGAAAAGCCCUGGGUUAAUACCCUGGGGUCAUGACGGUACCGUAAGAAUAAGCACCGGCUAACUACGUGCCAGCCGCCGCAGUAAGAC
rnacentral:rRNA from 1 species